AGUGUCAAACCUUCUAGAUUGGUUGCUCCUCAAAGAAGUAUCCAAUGAAGGUGCAUCCGAGCUUGGAUGGCAAUGAUAAAAAUAAACAAGUGAAUAAUGUUAAGGUACAUGGUUACCUCCGGUUAGAAUUUUAGAAUGCAUUAAGAACUUUACUCUUUUUUGUAAUUGAAUAUUGUUCUUUUUGCAACAUAAUUGAAUGAAUGUUUCAUCUAGGACUUAGAACCACAAAUUGUGAGGAAACCUCCAUUGU
rnacentral:lncRNA from 1 species